rnacentral:miRNA from 1 species
ACCUCAUCAACCAGAAGGGAUUUCUUCCAGUCAAUGAGGUAUAACAACCUCAUCAACUGGAAGGGAUUCCUCCUGGUCAAUGAAGUUGUUUUACCUCAUCAACCAGAAGGAAUGCCCUCUGGUUGAUGGGGUUGUUAUCCCCUGUUGACUGGAAGAAAUCCCUUCCGGUUGAUUAGGU